AGUGGGGAAUUUUCCGCAAUGGGCGCAAGCCUGACGGAGCAAGACCGCGUGAGGGAGGAAGGCUCUUGGGUUGUAAACCUCUUUUAUCAGGGAAGAAGAUCUGACGUUACCUGAUGAAUCAGCAUCGGCUAACUCCGUGCCAGCAGCCGCGGUAAUACGGAGGAUGCAAGCGUUAUCCGGAUUUAUUGGGCGUAAAGCGUCCGCAGGUGGUUUUUCAAGUCUGCUGUUAAAGCGCAGAGCUUAACUCUGUAACGGCGGUGGAAACUGAGAGACUAGAGUAUGGUAGGGGUUGCGGGAAUUCCCAGUGUAGCGGUGAAAUGCGUAGAUAUUGGGAAGAACACCAGCGGCGAAAGCGCGCAACUGGGCCAUUACUGACACUCAUGGACGAAAGCUAGGGGAGCGAAAGGGAUUAGAUACCCCUGUAGUCCUAGCUGUAAACGAUGGGUACUAGGUGUUGACCGUAUCGACCCGGUCAGUGCCGUAGCUAACGCGUUAAGUACCCCGCCUGGGGAGUAUGCACGCAAGUGUGARACUCAAAGGAAUUGACGGGGGCCCGCACAAGCGGUGGAGUAUGUGGUUUAAUUCGAUGCAACGCAAGAACCUUACCAGGGCUUGACAUGUCGCGAAUCUCGGUGAAAGUCGAGAGUGCCUUCGGGAGCGCGAACACAGGUGGUGCAUGGCUGUCGUCAGCUCGUGUCGUGAGAUGUUGGGUUAAGUCCCGCAACGAGCGCAACCCUCGUUUUUAGUUGCCAGCAUUUAGUUGGGCACUCUAGAGAGACUGCCGGUGACAAACCGGAGGAAGGUGGGGAUGACGUCAAGUCAGCAUGCCCCUUACGUCCUGGGCUACACACGUACUACAAUGCUUCGGACAAAGGGUUGCGAGCUAGCGAUAGCAAGCUAAUCCCGUAAACCGAGGCUCAGUUCAGAUUGCAGGCUGCAACUCGCCUGCAUGAAGGAGGAAUCGCUAGUAAUCCCAGGUCAGCAUACUGGGGUGAAUACGUUCCCGGGCCUUGUACACACCGCCCGU
rnacentral:rRNA from 1 species